rnacentral:rRNA from 3 species
AAAUUGAAGAGUUUGAUCAUGGCUCAGAUUGAACGCUGGCGGCAGGCCUAACACAUGCAAGUCGAACGGUAACAGGAAGCAGCUUGCUGCUUUGCUGACAAGUGGCGGACGGGUGAGUAAUGUCUGGGAAACUGCCUGAUGGAGGGGGAUAACUACUGGAAACGGUAGCUAAUACCGCAUAACGUCGCAAGACCAAAGAGGGGGACCUUCGGGCCUCUUGCCAUUGGAUGUGCCCAGAUGGGAUUAGCUAGUAGGUGGGGUAACGGCUCACC